UACGUAGGGUGCGAGCGUUAAUCGGAAUUACUGGGCGUAAAGCGUGCGCAGGCGGCUUUGCAAGACAGAUGUGAAAUCCCCGGGCUUAACCUGGGAACUGCAUUUGUGACUGCAUGGCUGGAGUGCGGCAGAGGGGGAUGGAAUUCCGCGUGUAGCAGUGAAAUGCGCAGAUAUCGGGAAGAACACCCGUGGCGAAGGCGGCUCUCUGGGACGGUACUGACGCUGAGACGCGAAAGCGUGGGGAGCGAACAGG
rnacentral:rRNA from 1 species